UCACGAAAUUAUUUGAAUAAACCACAUCGCAUAUAUGGGGGGCGAAUGUCCUAAAGAGGGGCGAUAUUCCUAGGGUAUUUGCCCCACCCCCCUGGGAGGCGAUAUUCCCAGGAUAUUCGCCCCCGGGGGCGAUAUUCCUAGGAAUAUCGCCACGUUUUGAGGGGGGGGGGCGAAUUUCCUGGGGGGGCGACCUUUUUAAAAAUUCUAUCUUGCCCCCCCCAAAAAUUUGAGUUUGCCCCUCAAAUGCACCCCCAAAUUUGGAAGCCUGGCG